rnacentral:rRNA from 1 species
AUACGUAGGGGGCGAGCGUUGUCCGGAAUUAUUGGGCGUAAAGGGCGCGCAGGCGGAUAUUUAAGUCCGAUGUGAAAGACCAGGGCUUAACCCUGGUAGUGCAACGGAAACUGGGUAUCUUGAGUACAGGAGAGGAAAGUGGAAUUCCACGUGUAGCGGUGAAAUGCGUAGAUAUGUGGAGGAACACCAGUGGCGAAGGCGACUUUCUGGACUGUAACUGACGCUGAGGCGCGAAAGCGUGGGGAGCAAACAGGAUUAGAUACCCUGGUAGUCCACGCCGUAAACGAUGAGUGCUAGGUGUAGAGGGUAUCGACCCCUUCCGUGCCGCAGUUAACACAAUAAGCACUCCGCCUGGGGAGUACGGCCGCAAGGUUGAA